UGGAUAGCUCAAUGGGUAGAGCAACAGAUUCAGGUUCUGUCGGUCGAAGGUUCGAAUCCUUUUCCA
rnacentral:tRNA from 1 species